UACGAAGGGAGCUAGCGUUGUUCGGAAUCACUGGGCGUAAAGCGCACGUAGGCGGAUGUGUCAGUCAGGGGUGAAAUCCCGGAGCUCAACUCCGGAACUGCCUUUGAUACUGGCGAUCUUGAGAUCGGAAGAGGUGAGUGGAAUUCCCAGUGUAGAGGUGAAAUUCGUAGAUAUUGGGAAGAACACCAGUGGCGAAGGCGGCUCACUGGUCCGAUACUGACGCUGAGGUGCGAAAGCGUGGGGAGCAAACAGG
rnacentral:rRNA from 1 species